rnacentral:rRNA from 1 species
AAACUGGCCAUAACCGCGGGCUAAACAUGCAGUCGAGCGAAUGGAUUAAGAGCUUGCUCUUAUGAAGUUAGCGGCGGAGGGGUGAGUAACACGUGGGUAACCUGCCCAUAAGACUGGGAUAACUCCGGGAAACCGGGGCUAAUACCGGAUAACAUUUUGAACCGCAUGGUUCGAAAUUGAAAGGCGGCUUCGGCUGUCACUUAUGGAUGGACCCGCGUCGCAUUAGCUAGUUGGUGAGGUAACGGCUCACCAAGGCAACGAUGCGUAGCCGACCUGAGAGGGUGAUCGGCCACACUGGGACUGAGACACGGCCCAGACUCCUACGGGAGGCAGCAGUAGGGAAUCUUCCGCAAUGGACGAAAGUCUGACGGAGCAACGCCGCGUGAGUGAUGAAGGCUUUCGGGUCGUAAAACUCUGUUGUUAGGGAAGAACAAGUGCUAGUUGAAUAAGCUGGCACCUUGACGGUACCUAACCAGAAAGCCACGGCUAACUACGUGCCAGCAGCCGCGGUAAUACGUAGGUGGCAAGCGUUAUCCGGAAUUAUUGGGCGUAAAGCGCGCGCAGGUGGUUUCUUAAGUCUGAUGUGAAAGCCCACGGCUCAACCGUGGAGGGUCAUUGGAAACUGGGAGACUUGAUUGCAGAAGAGGAAAGUGGAAUUCCAUGUGUAGCGGUGAAAUUGCGUAGAGAUAUGGAGGAACACCCAGUGGCGAACGCGACUUUCUGGUCUGUAACUGACACUGAGGCGCGAAAGCGUGGGGGAGCAAACAGGAUUAUAUACCCCUGGCAGUCCACGCCGUUAGACGAUGAGUGUUAAGUGUUAGAGGGUUUCCGCCCUU